AUGGCCACACCCUGUUGGAGGACAGAGCUGAGAGCGGUGACAAUUUGUAGAAGCAGCUGGCGGGUGGCUCACGGACAUCAAGCCCUGUCCCUGGUUGUCUCGGACUUCAUGGAAGGAGGGAGAAAGCAGUUGCAAACUCUAAGCCACCCUUCUCUGGCUAACAUUCAGUCUCAGGCUGUCCCUCCCCUCUCCAGAUUUACCAUCUCAUCUGCCUCCGACCCAGCCAAUCCUCCUCCUCCUCCCCGGGGAACCCUGCCUCUUAGACUCAGAGCACAGGGCAGAAAUAAUGGCUGUGAGAAAUCCUUCACACAUGUCCUAAAGGGGUCAGGAGGACACAGGAAUCAGGGAGGUGGGGACCCUAGAAACACAGGUGCUCGAUGUCUGGUAGACCUACCAGAUGGAAAGGAGAGAGGGGUUUUGGAGUCCAGGGGGCAGACCCACACAGUCAUAAUCAAAUACAAGACAUGACCAGGACAUACAGGGCGAAGGGGCACUGCCCACCAUGCCUGUUACUGCUGGGUGCAGUUUCCUGAUGGCUGUCUAGGAGGACAUCUGCCAUGGUAGCCUCUGCCUUGACCCUUCUGUCUUCA
rnacentral:lncRNA from 1 species